GAUUUUUAAAGUGGACUUCACUUCGACAGUUUAAGGUUAAAACCUUACAUAAAACUUUUCCUUCAUGAACUAUUGCAAAUGGACUUUAUUACCCAAAACAUAUGGAAUGGGGGCUAGGGGUAAGACAUGGCAACCCAAGGCGAAGGGAAGCAGGGACAGGCAAGGAUGCAGGAAUAGAUCGUUGUGAAUAAACCAGUGCUUUGGCCGGGUCAACUUCACUCGGUCCUUCUGACUUCGCCUUCGCCUUUUCUUGCAUAAAGUUCCUGGGAUGGGAAGCCUAUUGCAUCCACACGUAGAGUCAUCAGUACCUUCCAGAAACUUAGUAGUUUGAUGAAGCUCUCCCCCUCUGCUUCCUCGUCCGUUUGGCGUGCCUUAGGUGGCGUUCCUUUCACAUACGAUGAUCUCCCUGUCGCGGUGUUCCCUCCCCCUCCCCUAUAUCUUUGUCCUUUUACCCCGGUCGUUGUAUUCCCUCGCCUCCCCUGGAUCUGUCUUUUUCACAUCCGUUCACACGUGCACUUCUUUCUUACCUCCCCCUCCCCUAUAUCUUUGUCCUUUUACCCCGGUCGUUGUAUUCCCUCGCCUCCCCUGGAUCUGUCUUUUUCACAUCCGUUCACACGUGCACUUCUCUCUUAUACGUGCACUUCUCUCUUAUACGAUGACAUGUAGUCUAUCUCGUUCUUCAUAAUAUUUUUUUAUAUUUUAGUUUUACUUUAUUUAUUAAUUAGGCGAUGGUCCUAUAAAACAAGGGUUCUUUCUAUGCCUUUGAAUUGGGAUAAAAGGCCCAAAUAAGCCAUUGAUGAAAAACUGAUACCACCAAUGGUUUAAAAAAUGGAUCCCCAUCCGGAUCAUUGAAUCGACGAUUCGGAUCGAGAAUCAUUCGAAUAGAUCGAAUUAAGCUUUACAAAAAAAUCUAAAAAAAUUAUUAAAAUUCAUUAUAAAUGUUGUUUUUUAAGAACUAAUAAAAAAUAAGGAUAUUACAUUAUUAACUUUCUUUUUUUUUCAUCAAUUUGUGAAUAUUGAAAUGUUCUUUUCUUGUAUAAACUUAUGUUAACCAUGAAAUUUAC
rnacentral:lncRNA from 1 species